rnacentral:lncRNA from 1 species
UUUUUUUUUUUUUUUUUUUUAAAUAAGCCAAGUAAGCAAGAAGAAAAGUGAGAUAAUGAAUACGUCAGUGAGAAAGGACAGGUGCUGCAUAGAGUUUGAGCUGUUAAGUUACAACCUAGGGAAAAAGACCGGGAACUACUGUACUGUGUUCUCUUGAAAUUUUUGGCCCAGUAAGCUGCUACAUCCAGUUCAACUAACAAAAUCCUGUAUACCACAGAGAAGAAUAAAGAGAAAACCAAACUGACAAACAUCCUUCUUUUAUUUAAGACCAAACUGCAGCUGGAAUACCCAGUACAGUUCUGCUUACUACACUUCAAGAAAGAUCUGAAAGCGGAAAAAAGAACCAAAGAAGGGCAGUUGAAGCGACCAAAGGGUGGGUGGAAGGUGCUGCAGUAUGAAUACUGUACGAAUAUUUUGACUCUGGUCUGAAAAGAUAAAAGAAUUAUCGAAAACUACAUGGAAUAAUUGAAGUCCCUUCAAGUUUGAAAGUAAGCAUUUUAGGACAAAUAAAAGGAAAUUCAACUUUGUACUUGUGGAAACUAAUCCCUAAAUAUGAACAGGUUUAUAUUGACUCAUGGGUAGCCGAUCCAUGAUAAGUUACUGGAAACUAGGAUGUCUGAAUAUCAAGGAAGACAGCCAUAGUCUCUUAACAGUGCCUCUCUUGGUCUGUCUCAAAUUAAAUUUGGAUGGUAAAGGUGUGGUCCAAUAUAAAGUUUUUCCUAGUUAUCUCUUAAAAGUCAGUUCCACGUAAUGCCAAUGUUGGCAAAUCUUGCCUUUGUUUAUUCCAGUGCCAGUAUUUUCUGCUUAACUGUUUGUUUAGUUGGCAUCUGAGUUUAUUUACUUAUAUACGACAUACAGUUUACAUCUAACCACUCCUUCCCAGGCUGAUUCCACUUAUACUUGAUAUCCACCACGAGGGCCCAUCUCUUCUCACCUCCUGUGUAGACAGUGUGUUCAACAGACACUUACUGAACCCUUACUAUGGGUAAGACAUACUGGAUAAUUGGAGGGGAGAAGAGAUUAUUUAGUAAAAUCUACUGAGCACAAUCUAGUGAAUCAUUACAGUAUGACCUUAUUAUCUUGGGGUGUAUUAUGGUAAUUUAUACCACUCAUAUCCUAGUGUAAUUAUAAACCCAAUAUACUAUCAAAGGAAAGUAAUUUUAUGGUUGUCUGCCAUUUAAAAGUAUCUAGCAUUUGUUGUAUCCCAUUACUACAAAUAAUGAAGAAAGCCUGUGAUAAGCUGAUCUGUUGUGCAGUGAUUAAUAUACUAGAGUAAGAUGAAGUUGUUAACUCUUGACUCUGUCAAACAAAUAGGUAACCCCCAAAAUAACAAGUACUUAACUUUACAUUAAAGCAGACCCUGGGUGCUAUAAUUAGAUUACUUUGAGGCAGACAGCUGUUAUCCCAAUGGACUUAGUAUAUUCUGUAUUAAAGAAAGUGUUUACCGGAUAAGACUUUUUAGUGAUCUACUUGUACAUUUUAUAGGGGACAUAUUCUGUGUAUAGUUAAUAAAUAACUUUAUAGUGUCACAAA